UACGUAGGGUGCAAGCGUUGUCCGGAAUUAUUGGGCGUAAAGAGCUCGUAGGCGGUUUGUUGCGUCGGCUGUGAAAUCCCGAGGCUCAACCUCGGGUCUGCAGUCGAUACGAGCAAACUAGAGUGUUGCAGGGGAGACUGGAAUUCCUGGUGUAGCGGUGAAAUGCGCAGAUAUCAGGAAGAACACCCGUGGCGAAAGCGGCUCUCUGGAACGGUACUGACGCUGAGACGCGAAAGCGUGGGGAGCGAACAGG
rnacentral:rRNA from 1 species